GUAGGUGGCAAGCGUUGUCCGGAAUUAUUGGGCGUAAAGCGCGCGCAGGCGGUUCUUUAAGUCUGAUGUGAAAGCCCACGGCUCAACCGUGGAGGGUCAUUGGAAACUGGAGAACUUGAGUACAGAAGAGGAAAGCGGAAUUCCACGUGUAGCGGUGAAAUGCGUAGAGAUGUGGAGGAACACCAGUGGCGAAGGCGGCUUUCUGGUCUGUAACUGACGCUGAGGCGCGAAAGCGUGGGGAGCAAACAGGAUUAGAUACCCUGGUAGUCCACGCCGUAAACGAUGAGUGCUAAGUGUUAGGGGGUUUCCGCCCCCCUUAGUGCUGCAGCUAACGCAUUAAGCACUCCGCCGGGGGUAGUACGGCCGCAAGGCUG
rnacentral:rRNA from 1 species